AGAGUUUGAUCCUGGCUCAGGAUGAACGCUAGCGGCAGGCUUAAUACAUGCAAGUCGAGGGGCAGCAUGAGUGUAGCAAUACAUUUGAUGGCGACCGGCAAACGGGUGCGGAACACGUACACAACCUUCCUAUAAGUGGGGAAUAGCCCAGAGAAAUUUGGAUUAAUACCCCGUAACAUAAUGAUGUGGCAUCACAUUAUUAUUAUAGCUACGGCGCUUAUUGAUGGGUGUGCGGCUGAUUAGAUAGUUGGCGGGGUAACGGCCCACCAAGUCUACGAUCAGUAGCUGAUGUGAGAGCAUGAUCAGCCACACGGGCACUGAGACACGGGCCCGACUCCUACGGGAGGCAGCAGUAAGGAAUAUUGGUCAAUGGACGCAAGUCUGAACCAGCCAUGCCGCGUGAAGGAUUAAGGUCCUCUGGAUUGUAAACUUCUUUUAUCUGGGACGAAAAAAGGCUAUUCUUAGUCACUUGACGGUACCAGAUGAAUAAGCACCGGCUAACUCCGUGCCAGCAGCCGCGGUAAUACGGAGGGUGCAAGCGUUAUCCGGAUUCACUGGGUUUAAAGGGUGCGUAGGCGGGCAGGUAAGUCAGUGGUGAAAUCCUGGAGCUUAAUCCAGACUGCCAUUGAUACUAUCUGUCUUGAAUAUUGUGGAGGUAAGCGGAAUAUGUCAUGUAGCGGUGAAGUGCUUAGAUAUGACAUAGAACACCUAUUGCGAAGGCAGCUUACUACGCAUAUAUUGACGCUGAGGCACGAAAGCGUGGGGAUCAAACAGGAUUAGAUACCCUGGUAGUCC
rnacentral:rRNA from 1 species